CUAGAUUAAAUAAUAGUAAAUUACAUAAUAGAAUAUUUUUUGGUUAAAUAGUUACUUUAUCUAAAUAUUUUAGAUGUACUAUUUUAUUAUACUGAAAAACAAUCAAACUUUCUCUAAUUUCAUUACUUACCAUAGAUUUCACCAUGCUAAAGUAAAAGAAAAAAAACAAUCUCUUUAAUUAUUUUAUUAUAAACUUAGAUUUCAAAAAUUAUGAGAAUAUGUUAUAAAUAAUUUAUUACCCAUAUUAGUAACUUUAGGAAAAAUACUUUAAAAGGAGGAGGAAAUUUU
rnacentral:lncRNA from 1 species